rnacentral:rRNA from 1 species
GAUGAACGCUAGCUACAGGCUUAACACAUGCAAGUCGAGGGGAAACGAUAGAGAAAGCUUGCUUUUUCUAGGCGUCGACCGGCGCACGGGUGAGUAACGCGUAUCCAACCUGCCCACCACUUGGGGAUAACCUUGCGAAAGUAAGACUAAUACCCAAUGACGUCUCUAGAAGACAUCUGAAAGGGAUUAAAGAUUUAUCGGUGAUGGAUGGGGAUGCGUCUGAUUAGCUUGUUGGCGGGUAACGGCCCACCAAGGCAACGAUCAGUAGGGGUUCUGAGAGGAAGGUCCCCCACAUUGGAACUGAGACACGGUCCAAACUCCUACGGGAGGCAGCAGUGAGGAAUAUUGGUCAAUGGGCGAGAGCCUGAACCAGCCAAGUAGCGUGCAGGAUGACGGCCCUAUGGGUUGUAAACUGCUUUUAUAAGGGAAUAAAGUGAGCCUCGUGAGGCUUUUUGCAUGUACCUUAUGAAUAAGGACCGGCUAAUUCCGUG